UCCGAGUUGACCCCGGCAGUCUCCUGCGAGUCCCCGCCAUUACGCGCUGGCAACACAGGACAAGGGUUGCGCUCGUUGCGGGACUUAACCCAACAUCUCACGACACGAGCUGACGACAACCAUGCACCACCUGUCACUUUGUCCCCCGAAGGGGAAAGCCCUAUCUCUAGGGUGGUCAAAGGAUGUCAAGACCUGGUAAGGUUCUUCGCGUUGCAUCGAAUUAAUCCGCAUGCUCCGCCGCUUGUGCGGGCCCCCGUCAAUUCCUUUGAGUUUCACUCAUGCGAGCGUACUCCCCAGGUGGGAUGCUUAACGCGUUAGCUUAGGCACUGCCCCAUAGAGCGGGGCAACACCGAGCAUCCAUCGUUUACGGCGUGGACUAC
rnacentral:misc_RNA from 1 species